GGUCUGCUGCUGAUUGAAGGGAAGGUUGACCUUGAGGCCUUAGAGUCCUGGAGACAUCUAAGCUGGUUUCUCUUUUCUGUCAAUGUAUAAUUCUCUCUGCUCUUCUGUUUCUGCCUCCUUUGAGAGGGAAUUUCCCACUGCUUUGCUGUAGGAAAGACAGGCAAAAUGAAGAUGGCACCUAUAUUCAGUCUCCUUUCCUUUCCUUUCCUCUCACUCCUAAUCACAAAAUAUGCCUAAGAGGUCGAGCUUGGAUAAUAAACUGAACAUUCUUUCAUCUCACUAGUGAAAAAGUGAAACUUGGUACUGAGUUGAAGAAACACUUUGGGUUGAUCAAAUACUGGAAACGACCUCUUCAGAAUAAAGAUCCAUAAUCCUAGUAAAUUCUGAAGCUACUGUGUCAUGAAAUGCAGAAGUUCACAAACAUCUGUCAACACUUGCUGAUGAGACUGCUGAAGCAGCAAGGCUGUGAUGACUCUUGGUAGGAAUAUCUCAGCAUCAUGUGAUUCCUACCACGUGAGAAUGGAGCAAAGCAGCCUCUUUGCCGCCCCAAGCUCAGUGCUCCGUAGACUGAAAAGAAGAUGCAGUCGACAAACAGCUGAGGAGGCUUCAUGAAUGCUGCACACAGCAACUUCAGAGUUCCUCUCUGAACAGGUCUCCAGUUGAUUGGAUGAGAUCCAGCUGCCUUAGGGAGGGCGUCUGCUCAGCUCAGUCUACCAAUUCGAAUAUUAAGCUCAUCCAGAUACACCCUCUCAGACACCCCCAGAAAGUAUGACCAAA
rnacentral:lncRNA from 1 species